rnacentral:misc_RNA from 1 species
ACUGUUUUAAACACUUAAAGAUUAAAUUCACAUAGUUAACUUGUCUGUCAGUGAUGUGUAUUUGUGAUCAUAUGUUAUACUUAAUAUAAAAUCGCAGAAUGAAAGUGAAUGUUGAUUUGGAAAAUGAAAGAGCUAAGUGCGAUUUUAAUGUGGAGGAGUUAACUAAUUAUUUGGACGAAGGAGCAGAUGAGACCAGAAAUAGAAAAUAUAUAGAAAACAAGGUGUUAAGCGUUGAAGGUAUACUAGAUAAAGUUCCCGAAGAGUAUCUUAGUUAUAAAGAUAGAUACGAAAAUGCAAUUCGUAAAUCAGUUCUCUUAUUCAAAGUUCUUAGGGAGAUACAGGAUUCUAAACAAACACAAAUGGAAAAAGUAAGGUCGUCGUUUAGACAUACAGUACAGACAGCGGUGUUCAAAGACAACAGUCCAUUUUCUGUCCACUUGUCUAUGUUCAUACCAGCCAUUUUGGGACAAUGUAAUGAUGUGCAAAGAGAGUAUUGGUUGCCGAAAGCUCAGAAUAUGGAGAUAAUCGGUACAUACGCUCAGACUGAACUCGGGCAUGGCACUUUUAUCCGAGGUUUGGAGACUACAGCUACAUAUGACCCUGUCACUGAAGAGUUCAUAUUGCACAGCCCGACGCUAACUUCAUAUAAAUGGUGGCCAGGAAAUUUGGGACACACAGUGAAUUACUGCGUUGUUAUGGCUCAGCUAUACUCCAAUGGCAAGCAUUGCGGCAUCCAGCCAUUCAUGGUGCAGUUAAGAGAUGAAGAAACUCAUGAACCACUGAAAGGAAUAAAAUUGGGAGAGAUCGGAGUUAAACUGGGGCUAAAUACGGUCAACAACGGGUUUUUGGGCUUCCACCAACAUAGGAUACCCAGGGAUAGGAUGCUUAUGAAGAAUGCUCAAGUUUUAAGGGAUGGCACUUUCAUAGCUUCGCCGAACAGCAAGCUGACCUACGGAACCAUGGUGUUUGUAAGAGUCUGCAUCGUGAACAACAUGGCUAACCAGUUGGCUAAGGCGGUCACCAUCGCAGUCAGGUACUCUGCAAUCAGGAGACAGUCUCAGCUAAAACCCCAUGAGCCUGAACCUCAAAUCUUGGACUACGUGACUCAGCAGCACAAACUCUUCAUCGCCAUAGCUUCCAGUCACGCCUUCUCAUCUGCUGCUAAGUGGUUGUGGAAUAUGUUUGAUAAGGUCAACAAGGAACUGGCUCAAGGGAAGCUGGAUAAUUUGGCAGAGUUACAUUCUGUAGCAUGCUGCCUGAAAGUGAUCAGUAGCUCUGACGCCGCGGUCAUGGUGGAAAGGUGCCGUUUAGCCUGCGGUGGUCACGGGUACAUGCUGUCGUCCAAUCUGCCCCAAAUAUACGGCGUGGUCACACCAGCCAGCACGUAUGAAGGAGAAAAUACGGUGCUUCUUUUGCAGACAGCCAGAGCUCUAGUCAAGGCAUGGAAGCAAUCCUCCAAAGGAGAAGUAGUGGCGCCUACCAUGAAAUAUUUGGUUGAAAAGAAACCAUUACAAAAAUGGAACAAUGAUAUUGACGGCAUUAUAGAAGGAUUCCGAAGGGUUGCUGCACGGAAAUUAGCGGCGGCCGUCGGCAGCGUUGAGAAGCAUGUUGGAGCUGGGUUUUCCCAAGAAGAGGCAUGGAAUAAGGCUUCCGUCCAGUUGAUUGCAGUUUCUGAGGCUCAUGGUCGGGUGAUAAUAAUGUCUGCCUUCAAAGCAGAGGUAGAGAGAACAGCCUCGUCUUUAUCAGCUCCUGUCAGAAGGGUUCUAGAGCAACUGGUGGAGCUGUACGUCCUAUACUGGACUUUGGAGAAGCUGGGAGAUUUACUAUUGCCUCCGUUGUACGAAACGCGCAACGCCGGUUUCAUCGCUAUCGCUGUUCCGUUUCACGUCAUUAAAAGUUAAACAGCAAUAAUUUUUCGCACGAUAAAAACGGCGUCGCGCGUGCCAUGCUACGGGGACAGGAACAGAAAAAGUUUACAGGAAUAUCAGAGACAGACGUUCACGAGAUCCAGCAGAGAUACGAAGAUCUUCUAGAGAAGAUACGGCCCAAUGCUGUCGG